AAGCGGUGGAGCAUGUGGUUUAAUUCGACGCAACGCGAAGAACCUUACCAGGUCUUGACAUCCCUUGACAUCCUCAGAGAUGAGGAGUUCUAUCUUCGGAUAGACAAGGAGACAGGUGGUGCAUGGUUGUCGUCCGCUCGUGUCGUGAGAUGUUGGGUUAAGUCCCGCAACGAGCGCAACCCUUAUUCUUAGUUGCCAGCACUAACGGUGGGCACUCUAAGGAGACUGCCGGUGACAACCGGAGGAGUGGGAUGACGUCAAUCAUCAUGCCCUUUAUGACCUGGGCUACACACGUGCUACAAUGGCCUAUACAAAGGGUAGCGAAGCUGUGAGGUGGAGCCAAUCCCAAAAAGUAGGUCUCAGUUCGGAUUGUAGGCUGCAACUCGCCUACAUGAAGUCGGAAUCGCUAGUAAUCGCGGAUCAGCAUGCCGCGGUGAAUACGUUCCCGGGCCUU
rnacentral:rRNA from 1 species